UACGUAGGGUGCGAGCGUUGUCCGGAAUUAUUGGGCGUAAAGAGCUUGUAGGCGGUUUGUCGCGUCUGCUGUGAAAAUCCGGGGCUCAACCCCGGACUUGCAGUGGGUACGGGCAGGCUAGAGUGUGGUAGGGGAGACUGGAAUUCCUGGUGUAGCGGUGGAAUGCGCAGAUAUCAGGAGGAACACCGAUGGCGAAGGCAGGUCUCUGGGCCACUACUGACGCUGAGAAGCGAAAGCGUGGGGAGCGAACAGG
rnacentral:rRNA from 1 species